GUAAGCCUGUGAAGGUGUGUCGUGAGGCAUGCUGGAGGUAUCAGAAGUGCGAAUGCUGACAUAAGUAACGAUAAAGCGGGUGAAAAGCCCGCUCGCCGGAAGACCAAGGGUUCCUGUCCAACGUUAAUCGGGGCAGGGUGAGUCGACCCCUAAGGCGAGGCCGAAAGGCGUAGUCGAUGGGAAACGGGUUAAUAUUCCCGUACUUGGUGUUACUGCGAAGGGGGGACGGAGAAGGCUAUGUUGGCCGGGCGACGGUUGUCCCGGUUUAAGCGUGUAGGUGUGUGUUCCAGGUAAAUCCGGUUCACUUUAACACUGAGGCGUGACGACGAGGCACUACGGUGCUGAAGCAACAAAUGCCCUGCUUCCAGGAAAAGCCUCUAAGCAUCAGGUAACAUCAAAUCGUACCCCAAACCGACACAGGUGGUCAGGUAGAGAAUACCAAGGCGCUUGAGAGAACUCGGGUGAAGGAACUAGGCAAAAUGGUGCCGUAACUUCGGGAGAAGGCACGCUGACACGUAGGUGAAGUGAUUUACUCAUGGAGCUGAAGUCAGUCGAAGAUACCAGCUGGCUGCAACUGUUUAUUAAAAACACAGCACUGUGCAAACACGAAAGUGGACGUAUACGGUGUGACGCCUGCCCGGUGCCGGAAGGUUAAUUGAUGGGGUCAGCGCAAGCGAAGCUCCUGAUCGAAGCCCCGGUAAACGGCGGCCGUAACUAUAACGGUCCUAAGGUAGCGAAAUUCCUUGUCGGGUAAGUUCCGACCUGCACGAAUGGCGUAAUGAUGGCCAGGCUGUCUCCACCCGAGACUCAGUGAAAUUGAACUCGCUGUGAAGAUGCAGUGUACCCGCGGCAAGACGGAAAGACCCCGUGAACCUUUACUAUAGCUUGACACUGAACAUUGAGCCUUGAUGUGUAGGAUAGGUGGGAGGCUUUGAAGUGUGGACGCCAGUCUGCAUGGAGCCGACCUUGAAAUACCACCCUUUAAUGUUUGAUGUUCUAACGUGGACCCGUUACCCGGGUUGCGGACAGUGUCUGGUGGGUAGUUUGACUGGGGCGGUCUCCUCCUAAAGAGUAACGGAGGAGCACGAAGGUUGGCUAAUCCUGGUCGGACAUCAGGAGGUUAGUGCAAUGGCAUAAGCCAGCUUGACUGCGAGCGUGACGGCGCGAGCAGGUGCGAAAGCAGGUCAUAGUGAUCCGGUGGUUCUGAAUGGAAGGGCCAUCGCUCAACGGAUAAAAGGUACUCCGGGGAUAACAGGCUGAUACCGCCCAAGAGUUCAUAUCGACGGCGGUGUUUGGCACCUCGAUGUCGGCUCAUCACAUCCUGGGGCUGAAGUAGGUCCCAAGGGUAUGGCUGUUCGCCAUUUAAAGUGGUACGCGAGCUGGGUUUAGAACGUCGUGAGACAGUUCGGUCCCUAUCUGCCGUGGGCGCUGGAGAACUGAGGGGGGCUGCUCCUAGUACGAGAGGACCGGAGUGGACGCAUCACUGGUGUUCGGGUUGUCAUGCCAAUGGCACUGCCCGGUAGCUAAAUGCGGAAGAGAUAAGUGCUGAAAGCAUCUAAGCACGAAACUUGCCCCGA
rnacentral:rRNA from 2 species